AAGACGCAGAUUUUGUCCGGACAUUAGUGUGUCCUGAAAUAAUUUCAAACUGGAAAAAAAAAAAAUGAGAAUCGUGGCAAGACUAGAGAGGGAACUUUCUGGGUAGCCUCAGCUCAGUGAUGUUCUACAUUUUCUCACAUUUCUUCAUCACUCUCCCCCUCUCUCUCUAACGUGUUUUCAGAACCAGUGGAGAGCGGGUGGGAGACUCCACACCCUUUGCUCCUAAAUGCCUCCUUGGGCCUCUCCUGGGAGCACAGACAUUCCACCAUGACCCUUACCGCAGCCGCCAGGUGGUGGAACACGCCCGUCGCGCUGAGCAUCCACAUUCAGCUUUGCUGAGGGUCUCCCCAGCGUCCCUCCCCAGAGCGGGUCUGGCCAGGAGCACACGCUGAAUCUGGCUGUCGCAAUCCUGUCCCUGGGCCCUUCCUGUCCCUCAGGACCGCGGAGCCUAAGUGCCUGCUGCUGGCUGAGUGCAGGCCGAGCCGGUGGGCGAAGGGGACUUGCUGUCUGCAGUCCCCGGGCUGGGAGCAGAGGGCUGGCUGGGUGCGAGACCGUCCCACAGGCCCAGCUGCACCCCCCGGACGGCACCCCUGAUCCUCUGUCUCGCUUACUGUGUUGCCUGAAAUUUCCAGCGCUUCAUGGGGAAUCACAUGGCCAGAGCAGACAGCGGUGCCUGCUCCCGGACUUCGGGGUGUCUUGUGCUCUCCUUUGUUCUGCUGGUACGGUGAACUCCACUGGCUGGUUUCAAGUCGUAAACCGACCUUGUGUUCUUGGGCUGAGCCACGCUCGAUCACAAGAGUGUGCUCUGUCGGGGUGGGGUCAGCCUCGUGGACCGGGCUGGGAGCUGCUCCCUCUUCUACUCUCUGAGGGGAGAAUUAGAGGGAGAACCUGCUCCAGGCCUCUCUCACGGGUUCUGGCAAAUCAUCGGGGCCCCUCGGCUUGUGGAAACAUCACCCUGAUCUCCAUCUUCAUCUUCACGCAGCAUUCUCCCAGGUGUGUCCGCAUCCAAAUCUCUCCUUUUUAUAGGAGCACGAUCAUACUGGACUAGAUCCCCCCUCUUGACUUCAUUUUAACUUGAUUAUCUCUGUUAUGGGCUGAACUGUGGUCUCCCAAAUUCACAUGUUGAAGCCCUGACGCCCAGCGGCUCAGAAUGUGGCCUCAUUUGGAGAUUGGGUCUUUAAGGAGGUAGUUAAGGUAAAAUUAGGUCACUGGCGAGGGCCCUGUUCUCGUAUGAAUGGCAUCCUUGUGCAAAGAGAUUAGGAAGCAGACACACACAGGGGGACAAGCACGUGAGGACACAGGGAGGAGACGACUAUCUACACGUCUGGGAGAGACCAGCCCUGUGACCCUGAACCUCAGACUUCACCCUCCAAGACCAUGAGAGAAUAAACGUCUGUUGUUUGA